AAGACCUUGCACUUUUGGAGCGGCCGAUGUCCGAUUAGCUAGUUGGUGGGGUAAUGGCCUACCAAAGCUUCGAUCAGUAGCUGGUCUGAGAGGACGGCCAGCCACACUGGGACUGAGACACGGCCCAGACUCCUACGGGAGGCAGCAGUGGGGAAUUUUGGACAAUGGGCGCAAGCCUGAUCCAGCCAUGCCGCGUGAGUGAAGAAGGCCUUCGGGUUGUAAAGCUCUUUCAGCCGGGAAGAAAAGGUUGCGACUAAUAAUCGCAAUCCAUGACGGUACCGAAAGAAGAAGCACCGGCUAACUACGUGCCAGCAGCCGCGGUAAUACGUAGGGUGCGAGCGUUAAUCGGAAUUACUGGGCGUAAAGGGUGCGCAGGCGGUUUUGUAAGUCAGAUGUGAAAUCCCCGGGCUUAACCUGGGAACU
rnacentral:rRNA from 1 species